rnacentral:rRNA from 1 species
UACGUAGGGGGCGAGCGUUGUCCGGAUUCAUUGGGCGUAAAGAGCUCGUAGGCGGCUUGGCAAGUCGGAUGUGAAACUCCAGGCUCAACCUGGAGCCGCCAUUCGAUACUGCUAUGGCUAGAGUCCGGUAGGGAGUGUGGAAUUCCGGUGUAGCGGUGAAAUGCGCAGAUAUCGGGAGGAACACCGAUGGCGAAGGCAGCACUCUGGCCGGUACUGACGCUGAGGAGCGAAAGCGUGGGAGCGAACG